CGUAGCUACAAUGGCGUAAACAAAGGGAAGCGAGACCGGGAGGUUAAGCAAAUCCCAAAAAUAACGUCUCAGUUCGGAUUGUAGUCUGCAACUCGACUACAUGAAGCUGGAAUUGCUAGUAAUCGCGGAUCAGCAUGCCGCGGUGAAUACGUUCCCGGGCCUUGUACACACCGCCCGUCACACCAUGAGAGCCGGGAACACCCGAAGUCCGUAGUCUAACCGCAAGGAGGACGCGGCCGAAGGUGGGUUUGGUAAUUGGGGUGAAGUCGUAACAAGGUACC
rnacentral:rRNA from 1 species